rnacentral:rRNA from 1 species
AACGAACGCUGGCGGCAUGCCUAACACAUGCAAGUCGAACGAGACCUUCGGGUCUAGUGGCGCACGGGUGCGUAACGCGUGGGAACCUGCCCUUAGGUUCGGAAUAACUCCCCGAAAGGGGUGCUAAUACCGGAUAAUGUCUUCGGACCAAAGAUUUAUCGCCUUUGGAUGGGCCGGAGUUGGAUUAGCUAGUUGGUAGGGUAAAAGCCUACCAAGGCGACGAUCCAUAGCUGGUCUGAGAGGAUGAUCAGCCACACUGGGACUGAGACACGGCCCAGACUCCUACGGGAGGCAGCAGUGGGGAAUAUUGGAAAACGGGCGAAAGCCUGAUCCAGCAAUGCCGCGUGAGUGAUGAAGGCCUUAGGGUUGUAAAGCUCUUUUACCCGGGAUGAUAAUGACAGUACCGGGAGAAUAAGCUCCGGCUAACUCCGUG